CACAAUAUAUGGAAGAAUACCUUCAUACUCUCAAUUUCAAAAUCAAAUUACCACUUUGAACGAAGCACUGACUUACACGACCGUCGACUACCGAAGACCCACCGCUGCACCUACGUAGCGCCACCGCCUCUGUUUUCCGAAAAUAUAACCGUGCACUCACCAUAAGCACCACCCCCGCCACCCUCGUUCGGAGGCUUAACAAUUAACGAGCCGCCGCGUAGUCGUCGAUGUGUUAACCGUAAGGACCAGCCACCACCGCCUGUCCGUAAGACCGUAACGUCAUCUGCUCAGUGAGUUUGUAUAUACUGUGUGUGUCAUGAGACGACUUAAUUUGUGGAUUUUUGCUUUGUUUGCUAAACUAAGAUAGAUUCAACAUUUGAGGGGGAGCUCAUACUAGUUUGGAGAAACUUAAAAACUGUCAAAUUUCAAAGUGAAAGAGUCUGUUGGUGAUGAAGAUAGAGAGAGAGAAGCCCAAGGACUGAUCAAGACCGAAGACGUGUAGCUUCUACAGUGAUCAAUGGUCGACUCCAUCAACAUCUGAGGGGGAGU
rnacentral:lncRNA from 1 species